rnacentral:rRNA from 1 species
AUUGGGCGUAAGGGCUCGCAGGCGGUUUCUUAAGUCUGAUGUGAAAGCCCCCGGCUCAACCGGGGAGGGUCAUUGGAAACUGGGGAACUUGAGUGCAGAAGAGGAGAGUGGAAUUCCACGUGUAGCGGUGAAAUGCGUAGAGAUGUGGAGGAACACCAGUGGCGAAGGCGACUCUCUGGUCUGUAACUGACGCUGAGGAGCGAAAGCGUGGGGAGCGAACAGGAUUAGAUACCCUGGUAGUCCACGCCGUAAACGAUGAGUGCUAAGUGUUAGGGGGUUUCCGCCCCUUAGUGCUGCAGCUAACGCAUUAAGCACUCCGCCUGGGGAGUACGGUCGCAAGACUGAAACUCAAAGGAAUUGACGGGGGCCCGCACAAGCGGUGGAGCAUGUGGUUUAAUUCGAAGCAACGCGAAGAACCUUACCAGGUCUUGACAUCCUCUGACGAUCCUAGAGAUAGGACGUCCCCUUCGGGGGCAGAGUGACAGGUGGUGCAUGGUUGUCGUCAGCUCGUGUCGUGAGAUGUUGGGUUAAGUCCCGCAACGAGCGCAACCCUUGAUCUUAGUUGCCAGCAUUCAGUUGGGCACUCUAAGGUGACUGCCGGUGACAAACCGGAGGAAGGUGGGGAUGACGUCAAAUCAUCAUGCCCCUUAUGACCUGGGCUACACACGUGC